rnacentral:rRNA from 1 species
GAUGAACGCUGGCGGCGUGCCUAAUACAUGCCAGUCGAGCGAACAGACGAGGAGCUUGCUCCUCUGACGUUAGCGGCGGACGGGUGAGUAACACGUGGAUAACCUACCUAUAAGACUGGGAUAACUUCGGGAAACCGGAGCUAAUACCGGAUAACAUGUUGAACCGCAUGGUUCAACAGUGAAAGACGGUCUUGCUGUCACUUAUAGAUGGAUCCGCGCCGCAUUAGCUAGUUGGUAAGGUAACGGCUUACCAAGGCAACGAUGCGUAGCCGACCUGAGAGGGUGAUCGGCCACACUGGAACUGAGACACGGUCCAGACUCCUACGGGAGGCAGCAGUAGGGAAUCUUCCGCAAUGGGCGAAAGCCUGACGGAGCAACGCCGCGUGAGUGAAGAAGGUCUUCGGAUCGUAAAACUCUGUUAUUAGGGAAGAACAAAUGUGUAAGUAACUAUGCACGUCUUGACGGUACCUAAUCAGAAAGCCACGGCUAACGACGUG